GCUCACGGCCAUACCAGCCUGGGUACGCCCGAUCUCGUCUGAUCUCGGAAGCUAAGCAGGGUCGGGCCUGGUUAGUACUUGGAUGGGGGACUGCCUGGGAAUACCAGGUGCUGUAAGCA
rnacentral:rRNA from 1 species